AGGAAACCUUCAGCAGCUCCCCUGAGCAGCCAUGGAGAGCUUGGAGCAGAGUUGUGGGGUGGAUUUGCCACAGAGGCUGUGCUGGCCCUGCACUGUCUGAUGUGGAGCCACAGCAGGAGCCCCAGGUGCAGAGGAGGUGCCCACCUGGGCUGUCGUGGUGUGUGUCACCUCCUGAAGGAUGGCUCCAUCCUCCCCAGGGCUGACCUGCCUGGUCCCUGCAUAGGAGGGGAUACUCACACCUGUGAACCAGCUCUGCGAAACCCCAGCUCAGCUGCUGCUGCUUCAAGCCAGAAGACCCCAAACCUGAUGGUUUUGAUGUAACAAAGAUGAUUUCACUGAUGAAAUUGGCCUGAAACUGGCCAUUGUUGGCCUGAUGGAGGUGCAUUUCAAUAAAGGAUGCUUAAUAAUAUCAGACCAGAAAACUUCAUCACAGCUGCCCUUCAGAAAUCCUUGGGCUGAGAAGAGAGCUGUUUGGAAACACUCUGUAGCAGCACCACUGCUUUUAAUACUGUGGUAAAAUGAGGAUAAAUCUGUGCUGUUGUAAGUACAUGACAGUGUAAAAAGUCUGGAAAACUGUCCAGGUAGGGUGGGAGGAUAAACCCCAAUGUCAGUCCCUGAUGAUUCCCUUUGGCUUCGCUUUCCUCCUCUGUGACUUUGUGAAUACAUUUGGCAGUGGCUGGAGUUCAAGUUACAGCCACAGAGAGGAAAAGUGGAUGUCAUUGAAGAUGUGCUCUGGAAAGAAAAUGCAAACCUGCUGUACAUAAUGACAUGGGAUAGUUUGAGGAUUAUUUCUUCCUAAAUGGCCCGAUGCAAGCGAUAACUCUUCUGGACUGCAGCAAAGAGAACACAGCGUCCACAGGAGUUCUGCAGCAUUUCCACAUUUCCCUUAACCUUAUAAACACAAUUUUUAAUGGGCUGUUAGCAGGAUGUCAGGCUGGAAUGUUUCCCCAGCCUCUGAAGGCAGCAGACACGAACAGGGAAGCUGCUGCACACUGAACAGGAGAGGGCACUGGCACUCCAGCAGCUGUGCUGGGCUCAGCACCAGACGCAGCCGAAGCACAGCUUUUACUGCAGCUCAGCACACACACUCUCAUCAUCUUCUGCUCUUAAUGUGAGAAAAGUCUAUGAAAAGAGUGAAUGAACUGCAUUUAUUGUCUGCGUCUGUCUGGGGACAAGGAAAUACACUUGCACCAGGUGGGAACCUACCCUUUCCUUUGAA